rnacentral:rRNA from 1 species
GGCGGGGUUGCAGGGCCGCGCAUCCGGGGGCUGCCGCCCCCGGGCGCAGGUCCGGCUGGGGAGCGGAACGGCAUGGGAGGGCCGGCCGCAGCGGGUGACAGCCCCGUACGCGAACCCAGACCGGACGGCGCGACGCGGUCCCUGAGUAGGGCCGGGCACGUGAAACCCGGUCCGAACCUGGGUGGACCACCAUCCAAGCCUGAGUACUACCCUGUGACCGAUAGCGCACCAGUACCGUGAGGGAAAGGUGAAAAGCACCCCGGGAGGGGAGUGAAACAGUACCUGAAACCGUGCGCCCACGAGCAGUCGGAGCACCCUUCGGGGUGUGACGGCGUGCCUUUUGUAGAAUGAGCCAGCGAGUCGCUGGCGCGGGGCGAGGUUAACCGAAAGGGAGCCGGAGCGAAAGCGAGCCUUAACAGGGCGACUUGAGUCCCGCGCCGCGGACGCGAAGCCGGGUGAGCUAUCCGUGGGCAGGCUGAAGCGGGGGUAAGACCCCGUGGAGGGCCGAACGCACGUCGGUUGAAAACGGCGGCGAUGACCUGCGGAUAGGGGUGAAAGGCCAAUCAAACCCGGAGAUAUCUCGUUCUCCCCGAAAUAGCUUUAGGGCUAGCGUCGCGCGUUCACCGCCGGAGGUAGAGCACCGGAUGGACGAGGGGGCUUCGCCGCCUACCGAAUCCAACCGAACUCCGAAUGCCGGCGGCCCAGAGCGCGGCAGUCAGAGCAUGUGGGCUAAGCUGUGUGCUCGAGAGGGAAACAGCCCGGACCGCCCGCUAAGGUCCCCAAGUUCCAGCCGAGUGGCAAAGGAUGUGCGUCCGCCCAGACAACCAGGAUGUUGGCUUAGAAGCAGCCAUCCAUUCAAAGAGUGCGUAACAGCUCACUGGUCGAGUGGACAUGCGCCGACAAUACACGGGGCUAAGCUGGACACCGAAGCGGCGGGAUUUUACCUAAGUAGAAUCGGUAGGGGAGCUUCCCAUGGGCGGAGAAGCCGGAGGGCGACCGACGGUGGAGCGCAUGGGAGUGAGAAUGCUGGCAUGAGUAGCGAGAGACGAGAGAGUAACUCGUCCGCCGUGAACCCGAGGUUUCCUGGGCAAGGCUAAUCCUCCCAGGGUCAGUCGGGGGCUAAGGCGAGGCCGGUAGGCGUAGCCGACGCGCAGCAGGCAGACAUUCCUGCACCGCGCACGCGGCGCUACGACCGACGGGGCGACGGAUGGGGGUGGCUCGGCGGGGUUCUGGACGUCCCCGUGAUGGAGCGCGGCCCGCGGACCAGGGAAAUCCGGUCCGCACACAGGGCGAGGCUCCGGACGAAGCGACUGAGCGAAGCGAGUGAGCCCGAGGUCCCUAGAAAAACCCCUAGGCAGGCGCGUGCGCGCCCGUACCGCAAACCGACACAGGUGGGUGGGUAGAACAUACCGAGGCGAUCGGGUCAACCAUGGUCAAGGAACUCGGCACAAUGGCCCCGUAACUUCGGGAGAAGGGGUGCCCGCGCGUACGUGAACCGGCUUGCCCGGGGAGCGGAGGCGGGCCGCAGUGGAGAGGCCCAAGCGACUGUUUACCAAAAACACAGGACUCUGCAGAAGCCGCAAGGCGACGUAUAGGGUCUGACGCCUGCCCGGUGCCGGAAGGUCACGCGGAGGAGUUAGCCGUUAAGGCGAAGCCCCGAAGCCAAGCCCCGGUAAACGGCGGCCGUAACUAUAACGGUCCUAAGGUAGCGAAAUUCCUUGUCGGGUAAGUUCCGACCCGCACGAAAGGCGUAAUGAUUUGAGCGCUGUCUCGGCAAUACAUCCGGUGAAAUUGAAGUGCCAGUGAAGAUGCUGGCUACCCGCGCCAGGACGGAAAGACCCCAUGGAGCUUUACUCCAGUUUGGCACUGGGGUCCGGUGUUGCAUGUACAGGAUAGGUGGGAGGCUGAGAAACGGUAACGUCAGUUGCCGCGGAG